rnacentral:rRNA from 1 species
GACGAACGCUGGCGGCGUGCUUAACACAUGCAAGUCGAACGGAAAGGCCCUGCUUUUGUGGGGUGCUCGAGUGGCGAACGGGUGAGUAACACGUGAGUAACCUGCCCUUGACUUUGGGAUAACUUCAGGAAACUGGGGCUAAUACCGGAUAGGAGCUCCUGCUGCAUGGUGGGGGUUGGAAAGUUUCGGCGGUUGGGGAUGGACUCGCGGCUUAUCAGCUUGUUGGUGGGGUAGUGGCUUACCAAGGCUUUGACGGGUAGCCGGCCUGAGAGGGUGACCGGCAACUGGGGGAAUGAGAGACGGCCCGGACUCCGCCGGGAGGAAGGAGGGGGGAUUUUGGCACAGGGGGGGGAGGCCUGAUGCAGCAGCGCCGGGGGGGGGAGGAGGGCUUUGGGGUUGUAAACCGCUUCCGCCUGGGAAGAAGGGGGAGGGAGGGUAAGGGGUAAAGAAGCACCGGCUAACUACGUC